rnacentral:rRNA from 1 species
UACGUAGGCAGCAAGCGUUGUUCGGAAUUACUGGGCGUAAAGAGUGUGUAGGCGGUGCUCUAAGUCUGUUGUGAAAUCUCCCGGCUUAACCGGGAGGGUGCGGCGGAAACUGGAGUGCUUGAGGGUGGGAGAGGUAAGCGGAAUUCCUGGUGUAGCGGUGAAAUGCGCAGAUAUCAGGAGGAACACCGGUGGCGAAGGCGGUUCUCUGGGCAUGUCCUGACGCUGAGGAGCGAAAGUGUGGGGAGCGAACAGG